rnacentral:rRNA from 1 species
ACUCCUACGGGAGGCAGCAGUGGGGAAUAUUGCACAAUGGGCGCAAGCCUGAUGCAGCCAUGCCGCGUGUAUGAAGAAGGCCUUCGGGUUGUAAAGUACUUUCAGCAGUGAGGAAGGUGGAUAUGUUAAUAGCAUAUUCAUUUGACGUUAGCUGCAGAAGAAGCACCGGCUAACUCCGUGCCAGCAGCCGCGGUAAUACGGAGGGUGCGAGCGUUAAUCGGAAUUACUGGGCGUAAAGCGCAUGCAGGUGGUUUGUUAAGUCAGAUGUGAAAGCCCGGGGCUCAACCUCGGAAUUGCAUUUGAAACUGGCAAACUAGAGUACUGUAGAGGGGGGUAGAAUUUCAGGUGUAGCGGUGAAAUGCGUAGAGAUCUGAAGGAAUACCGGUGGCGAAGGCGGCCCCCUGGACAGAUACUGACACUCAGAUGCGAAAGCGUGGGGAGCAAACAGGAUUAGAUACCAUGGUAGGCUCUGC